rnacentral:misc_RNA from 1 species
GGGCAUUAUCGACUUUGUACAGUAGCAUUUUCUCUUUGCAUCAAUUAAUUUCAUAUCUAUACACAACAAACUUACUUUUAUUUUUCCUUUUUACAAGCUGUAAAACUAUAAUCUAGUUCAAUUUUGCUUCCACUGUCCCUUUUGUCAUCAUGUUUACAAACUCGUCGUAAUUGAUUUUUCCAUCUCCAUCGAUAUCGACAUCGUUGAUAAUUUCAUCUAUGGUAUCUUCAUCUCCCAAACCAUACUGAGUCAUAGCUUGUUUGAGCUCAUCUCUAGUGAUAAAUCCGCUUCCGUCUGUGUCAAAGAACUGGAAGGCCUUGUAUAUGUUUUCUUCUUUCUCGAGCCUAUGUCGAUGCAUCGUUGCAGUAAUAAACUCGCCAUAAUCGAUCGUCCCAUUUCUAUCAACAUCAGCCGCAUCCAUUAGUUGCUUUAUUUCGUGUUCGGAAAGCCUUGAACCGAGCCUGGACAAACCCUUUUUCAGUUCAUCAAAUGUGAUGGUACCACUUCUAUCAGUGUCUAUGUUCUUGAACAUUUGAUUCAGACCCUUCAAUUCUUC